UUCGGGGACAUUGGUGACAGGUGGUGCAUGGUUGUCGUCAGCUCGUGUCGUGAGAUGUUGGGUUAAGUCCCGCAACGAGCGCAACCCUUGUCUUUAGUUGCCAUCAUUAAGUUGGGCACUCUAGAGAGACUGCCAGGGAUAACCUGGAGGAAGGUGGGGAUGACGUCAAAUCAUCAUGCCCCUUAUGCUUAGGGCUACACACGUGCUACAAUGGGUAGUACAGAGGGUUGCCAAGCCGUAAGGUGGAGCUAAUCCCUUAAAGCUACUCUCAGUUCGGAUUGUAGGCUGAAACUCGCCUACAUGAAGCUGGAGUUACUAGUAAUCGCAGAUCAGAAUGCUGCGGUGAAUGCGUUCCCGGGUCUUGUACACACCGCCCGUCACACCACGGGAGUUGGAGACGCCCGAAGCCGAUUAUCUAACCUUUUGGAAGAAGUCGUCGAAGGUGGAAUCAAUAACGGGGGUGAAGUCGUAACAAGGUAGCCGUAUCGGAAGGUGCGGCUGGAUCCUGUCCUUUCUAAGGA
rnacentral:rRNA from 1 species